ACUUAGAAAGACUUAUGUAUAUAAAGAAACACUAUAUUUAAUACAUAUCACAUAAAUUAUUAGAUACAUAAGAUUAAGUACUUAAAAAGACCUAAAUAUGAAACGAGACACCUUAAAUUUUGAUACAUAUAAAAAAGAAAAGUAAGAUUUGAAUGAGAUACGUAAAUAAUACUUAUAAAACUUAGAAAAGAGACACUCUAAAUAUAGAACGAAGAGGAAAAUAAGACACUUAAAUUAUCAUAUACAAAAGAUCAAGUACUUAGAAAGACUUAAACAAGGAUCCCUAUUUAUAACGGAAACAUAUGAACUAACAUUACGCUGCAGGUGCCACUUUUUUUCCAUCAUCAUCAUCGUCAUCAUCAUUUUCUAACUCUCUAUUUAGACAGAAGCUUAUUACCGGCCUUGUUAAUUCUAUCUUGUUAUAAAGAUGAAAAGAAUAUAUUUCAGUCAUUUCUACGACAAAUAUUUUUUGUUAAAAAGAUACUAAUUUGUUAGUGAUGAAGGUAUAUAUAUAUAUGUGUGAUA
rnacentral:lncRNA from 1 species